rnacentral:rRNA from 1 species
AUUGAACGCUGGCGGCAGGCCUAACACAUGCAAGUCGAGCGGCAGCGGGAAAGUAGCUUGCUACUUUUGCCGGCGAGCGGCGGACGGGUGAGUAAUGCCUGGGGAUCUGCCCAGUCGAGGGGGAUAACUACUGGAAACGGUAGCUAAUACCGCAUACGCCCUACGGGGGAAAGCAGGGGACCUUCGGGCCUUGCGCGAUUGGAUGAACCCAGGUGGGAUUAGCUAGUUGGUGAGGUAAUGGCUCACCAAGGCGACGAUCCCUAGCUGGUCUGGGGGGAUGAUCAGCCACACUGGAACGGAGACACGGUCCAGACUGCUACGGGAGGCAGCAGUGGGGAAUAUUGCACAAUGGGGGAAACCCUGAUGCAGCCAUGCCGCGUGUGUGAAGAAGGCCUUCGGGUUGUAAAGCACUUUCAGCGAGGAGGAAAGGUUGGUAGCUAAUAACUGCCAGCUGUGACGUUACUCGCAGAAGAAGCACCGGCUAACUCCGUGCCAGCCGCCGCCGUAACAC